UUAAGUUCAGCGGGUAUUCCUACCUGAUCCGAGGUCAACUCUAGAGAAAGUUGGGCGUUUUACGGCGUUGACCGUCUCCGCGCUCCGGUGCGAGGUUGUGCUACUACGCAGGGGAGGCUGCGGCGAGGUCGCCACUGCAUUUCGGGGGCGGCGCGAGGCCGGUCCCCAACACCAAGCGCCCGUGGGGGCUUGAGGGUUGA
rnacentral:misc_RNA from 1 species